GACGAACGCUGGCGGCGUGCUUAACACAUGCAAGUCGAACGGGAUCCAAAGGCUUUUUGUUUUUGGUGAGAGUGGCGAACGGGUGAGUAACACGUGAGUAACCUGCCCCCUUCUUUUGGAUAACCGCAUGAAAGUGUGGCUAAUACAGAUUUUUCAAGCUGGUUGCCUUGUUGGUUUUGGGAAUGGUUUUGUUUGGUGGGGGAUGGGCUCGCGGCCUAUCAGCUUGUUGGUGGGGUGAUGGCCUACCAAGGCGGUGACGGGUAGCCGGCCUGAGAGGGUGGGCGGUCACACUGGGACUGAGAUACGGCCCAGACGCCUACGGGAGGCAGCAGUGGGGGAGUUUGCACAAUGGGCGCAAGCCUGAUGCAGCGACGCCGCGUGAGGGAUGAAGGCCUUCGGGUUGUAAACCUCUUUCGCUGGGUUGAAAGGCCAUGCUUUGGGUGUGGUUGAUUUGAACUGGUAAAGAAGUACCGGCUAACUACGUG
rnacentral:rRNA from 1 species